UUAGCAUUAAUUUUAGGGUUAGAUUUUAAGCUUAGGUUAAGGUUAGGGUUAGAUUGUAGGGUUGAUUAAUGGUUAAGGUUAGGGUUGGGUGUAGGGUUAGAUUGUAAGCUUAGGUUAAGGUUAGGGUUAGGUGUAGGGUUAGAUUGUAGGGUUGAUUAAUGGUUAAGGUUAGGGUUAGGUGUAGGGUUAGAUUGUAGGGUUGAUUAAUGGUUAAGGUUAGGGUUGGGUGUAGGGUUAGAUUGUAAGCUUAGGUUAAGGUUAGGGUUAGGUGUAGGGUUAGAUUGUAGGGUUGAUUAAUGGUUAAGGUUAGGGUUAGGUUUAGGGUUAGAUUGUAGGGU